rnacentral:rRNA from 1 species
GACAGAGGGUGCAAACGUUGCUCGGAAUUACUGGGCGUAAAGCGUGCGUAGGCGGUUGGCAAAGUCAGCUGUGAAAGCCCCGGGCUUAACCUGGGAAUGGCGGUUGAAACUAGUCGACUCGAAUCUGGCAGAGGGGGGUGGAAUUCCACGUGUAGCAGUGAAAUGCGUAGAGAUGUGGAGGAACACCGAUGGCGAAGGCAGCCCCCUGGGUCAAGAUUGACGCUCAUGCACGAAAGCGUGGGGAGCAAACAGG